GCUCCGAGUCUAAUUACCACUCCGAGAGAAGCUAUCACUCCAACUCCGACUAUAGUCAAGAUGAAGGUGUUGCCAGGUUUGCGCUUGUUUCCACCAACUCAUAUGACUUAUUUGAUUCACCAAGUGAAGGAGUCGGAAACUGCUUCAUGGCUAAAGGCCCCAAGGUAUCACAUCCUGAGUAUCUUGAUUUCAAUAGUGAUGAGGAUGACUUGUUAGGAGAAGAUGACUUGCUUCUAGAUAAAGCUAGCGAAUGCACUGAAAAUGAACUUGCUAUUUAUCAUGCUAGUCAAGAGAAAUCGAAUGAUGAUGAUAAGAAAGAAA
rnacentral:lncRNA from 1 species